AUGCCGAAGGCAGGGCUGAUGACUGGGGUGAAGUCGUAACAAGGUAGCCGUACCGGAAGGUGUGGCUGGAUCACCUCCUUUUAGGGAGACCAUCUGAUAGUCGACCGAACCUAAACAAUAGGUCAAUAUCAGUCAUCCCUGGUCGUUCGAGGCAUAGAUGUCAAAGCUUUCAAACUAUUAACUGGUUCGGAACUCGCGGGCUAUUAGCUCAGUUGGUUAGAGCGCACCCCUGAUAAGGGUGAGGUCCCUGGUUCAAAUCCAGGAUGGCCCACCUGGAAAAAAAGUGAUGAAUUGUCAGUAAUGAGUAAUGGAUAAUCUUAGAUUAAUUCAGGACUCAUAAAAUCAAAAUCAGAACUUGCUUAGUGGGGGUAUAGCUCAGUUGGUAGAGCGCCUGCCUUGCACGCAGGAAGUCAGCGGUUCGAGUCCGCUUACCUCCACUCUCACUAACUACAACCAACAAAAGAACUAAAAGAGAGAGAAAUCAGCACCCAGACUAGCUUGGUCAAAAAAGAAGUCGGAAUGCUGGAGUCUAGAACUCUAGUCAGAACCUUGAAAACUGCAUAGAAAUUAAGUCAUCAAAGCGUGUCAGUAAUCCGAGAAAUCGGAGCAUCUGACCAGCGACCACCAUCAAAAAAUCAAGUGGUCAAGUUACAAAGGGCUA
rnacentral:misc_RNA from 1 species